ACACUUUUGUGAUGAUUUAGCACUGGGCUCUGAACAUAUGUAGACAACGUGCAUUUCUGCUCUUGACAUGGCAGAAUCUGAAAAGUGU